rnacentral:rRNA from 1 species
CCUACGGGAGGCAGCAGUGGGGAAUAUUGCACAAUGGGGGAAACCCUGAUGCAGCGACGCCGCGUGAGUGAAGAAGUAAUUCGUUAUGUAAAGCUCUAUCAGCAGGGAAGAAAAUGACGGUACCUGAGUAAGAAGCCCCGGCUAACUACGUGCCAGCAGCCGCGGUACUACGUAGGGGGCAAGCGUUAUCCGGAUUUACUGGGUGUAAAGGGAGCGUAGACGGCAGUGCAAGUCUGGAGUGAAAGGCGGGGGCUCAACCCCCGGACUGCUCUGGAAACUUUUUUGCUGGAGUACCGGAGAGGUGAGCGGAAUUCCUGGUGUAGCGGUGAAAUGCGUAGAUAUUAGGAGGAACACCAGUGGCGAAGGCGGCUUACUGGACGGUAACUGACGUUGAGGCUCGAAAGCGUGGGGAGCAAACAGGAUUAGAUACCCUGGUAGUC